rnacentral:rRNA from 1 species
AGUGAACGCUGGCGGUAGGCCUAACACAUGCAAGUCGAACGGCAGCACAGUAAGAGCUUGCUCUUACGGGUGGCGAGUGGCGGACGGGUGAGGAAUACAUCGGAAUCUACUUUUUCGUGGGGGAUAACGUAGGGAAACUUACGCCAAUACCGCAUACGACCUACGGGUGAAAGCAGGGGAUCUUCGGACCUUGCGCGAUUGAAUGAGCCGAUGUCGGAUUAGCUAGUUGGCGGGGUAAAGGCCCACCAAGGCGACGAUCCGUAGCUGGUCUGAGAGGAUGAUCAGCCAGCCUGGAACUGAGACACGGUCCAGACUCCUACGGGAGGCAGCAGUGGGGAAUAUUGGGCAAGGGACGCAAGCCUGAUCCAGCCAUACCGCGUGGGUGAAGAAGGCCUUCGGGUUGUAAAGCCCUUUUGUUGGGAAAGAAAAGCAGCAGGUUAAUACCCCGCUGUUCUGACGGUACCCAAAGAAUAAGCACCGGCUAACUUCGUG